UGGCUCAAUUCAUUCAACUCACAAAAGUAAAAACUAGACAUGUAGCAGCACGAUUUCAAUAUAUAAUUCGCCCACUCAAAUAAUGCUCAACUAAAAAUAACGACACGAAAUAAAUACAAAACUAAAAAAUAUUAUUUAGAAACGAGUACGUGCGCACAACUAAAAUAUUAUCUAGACACGGGUGCGUGCCUCUGUUGCCUGAUAAAUCUUGCGAGCAUGAAUGCUUAGCAAGGACGUUUAUUUUUAAGUUUAAGAAAUCAUAUAUGUGUAUAUAUAUUUCAACAGAUUUCAAAUAUCACUUGGAACACGUUUGGGGCAUUGGAAUAUACGAGAAUCAAAACUGAUGUCAGCUUGAAUCAGCGUUGAACUUGACAUUGAAACCCAAAUCGUCAGAGAUAACAAUUUGGCUGAUCGGAACCAGAGCUCCAGCCACACAACUGUACUGACACGUGACAUUGUCGAAACGAAACACAAAUAUCAGCAGCAUCAUUAUCAUCAUCAUUAUCAACAUGCUGAUCAUGAUUGCUACUGGAGAGAUGGCUACCUUAAUCCCGGAGAAUGCUAAACUGAUAAGAAGGCCCUGAUUGACCUGGUGCUCAGCCUUCUGCAUCUCUUUGAGAGGCUAUGAUUCAGCGCUUGCAGCAAUGUGAGCCCUUACAUAACCAGCGGCAAGAUUACUUAUGUGAGAGAUAUAAGAGAGGGAGAGAGAG